rnacentral:lncRNA from 1 species
GAUUAACGUUUGCUUUUGUUAAAUCAGGGCUUCCCCAGCCAGGACUUCGGCUCAGACUGUGGCAUAUUCAUGUUGAUGGUAGGUCAUAACGAGCUGUAAUGCACAAAUAUUGUAUCUAGAAUAACUUUCCAACAUGGACUUUUUUAAAGUUAUCUCACAUGUUGUCUCAUAAUUUUUUUUAAGUCUGCCAUGUACAUCGUUAUGGAGUCACAGUUUGACUACUCAGUUGUAAGUACUUUUCAACACGCAGUGUCAUCCUCAAGAUUGUAUUUUGUAUUGUGCACUAAAAUGAAAUACAAACAACAAUUUCAGCAUGACAUGCCUGUUUGGCGGCGAUGGUGGUGCCUGUUGCUCCUGGAGAACAAUUCUUUGAACAGGUAGACAGUUUAAGUAAACUAGAUGUCCUAAUUAACUGGAAGACAAUCAAUAUAUUGUACUCAAAGACAUAUUGUCAUUACAGUUGUGGGAAAAUCUUCGCCCACUGGACCAAAGAAUGUCAAGAGCUCAUUGCUGGAAAGCAUACUCCGGUCUUCAGUCUAAAGAGGAAGGCAGAGCAGCAGGACAUAGAGGUUAGAAAAUUGCCUUGUAAAAACAGUAUUAUCUCAGUGGGAGUCCUUCAAAAUGCACACAGUUGUAUGGAUCAACAUCGUCUCGAUGUAUUUGGUAAUUGAUGUUACUUUUCAAAUUGCCUUGUCAAGGAAACCAUGACGCAGACGGUAUCGGAUGUCCAAAGAAUGUGCAUGGCAGAUUCAAUGCAAUUCUGUGUCUACCAGACAUCGAACAACACAGGAGAGAGGUGUGUUG